GACGAACGCUGGCGGCGUGCUUAACACAUGCAAGACGAGCGGUAAGGCCCUUUCGGGGGUACACGAGCGGCGAACGGGUGAGUAACACGUGGGUGACCUGCCCUCAGCUCUGGGAUAAGCCUGGGAAACCGGGUCUAAUACUGGAUAUGACUCCAUGACGCAUGUUGUGGGGUGGAAAGCCUUGUGCGGCUGAGGAUGGGCCCGCGGCCUAUCAGCUUGUUGGUGGGGUGANGGCCUACCAAGGCGACGACGGGUAGCCGGCCUGAGAGGGCGACCGGCCACACUGGGACUGAGACACGGCCCAGACUCCUACGGGAGGCAGCAGUGGGGAAUCUUGCGCAAUGGGCGAAAGCCUGACGCAGCGACGCCGCGUGAGGGAUGACGGCCU
rnacentral:rRNA from 1 species